rnacentral:rRNA from 1 species
GAUGAACGCUGGCGGCGUGCCUAACACAUGCAAGUCGAACGAAGCACUUUAGUUUAGUUCCUUCGGGACUGGUUAUUUUGUGACUGAUGCGCGGACGUGUGAGUAACGCGUGGGUAACCUGUCUUGUACAGGGGGAUAACAGUUGGAACCGGCUGCUAAUGCCGCAUAAGCGCCCAGCAUCGCAUGAUGCAGUGUGAAAAACUCAGGUGGCAUAAGAUGGACCCGCGUUGGAUUAGCUAGUUGGUGAGGUAACGGCCUACCAAGGCGACGAUCCAUAGCCGGUCUGAGAGGAUGACCAGCCACACUGGGACUGAGACACGGCCCAGACUCCUACGGGAGGCAGCAGUGGGGAAUAUUGCACAAUGGGCGAAAGCCUGAUGCAGCGACGCCGCGUGAGCGAUGAAGGAUUUAGGGAUGUAAAGCUCUAUCAGCAGGGAAGAUAAUGACGGUACCUGAAGAAGAAGCACCGGCUAAAUCCGUG